AGUGAACGCUGGCGGUAGGCCUAACACAUGCAAGUCGAACGGCAGCACAGUAAGAGCUUGCUCUUACGGGUGGCGAGUGGCGGACGGGUGAGGAAUACAUCGGAAUCUACUUUUUCGUGGGGGAUAACGUAGGGAAACUUACGCUACUACCGCAUACGACGUACGGGUGAAAGCAGGGGAUCUUCGGACCUUGCGCGAUUGAAUGAGCCGAUGUCGGGUUAGCUAGUUGGCGGGGUAAUGGCCCACCAAGGCGACGAUCCGUAGCUGGUCUGAGAGGAUGAUCAGCCACACUGGAACUGAGACACGGUCCAGACUCCUACGGGAGGCAGCAGUGGGGAAUAUUGGACAAUGGGCGAAAGCCUGAUCCAGCCAUACCGCGUGGGUGAAGAAGGCCUUCGGGUUGUAAAGCCCUUUUGUUGGGAAAGAAAAGCAGCAGGUUAAUACCCCGCUGUUCUGACGGUACCCAAAGAAUAAGCACCGGCUAACUUCGUG
rnacentral:rRNA from 1 species